rnacentral:rRNA from 1 species
UACGUAGGGACCAAGCGUUGUUCGGAUUUAUUGGGCGUAAAGGGCUCGUAGGCGGUUUGUCGCGUCGGGAGUGAAAACACCGGGCUUAACUCGGUGCUUGCUUUCGAUACGGGCAGACUAGAGGCAUGCAGGGGAGAACGGAAUUCCUGGUGUAGCGGUGGAAUGCGCAGAUAUCAGGAAGAACACCGACGGCGAAGGCAGCUCGCUGGGAUGGUACUGACGCUGAGGCGCGAAAGCGUGGGGAGCGAACAGG